CGCCGGGAAAGGAGUGCCUUGUACCGGCUACGAGUCGAACCCACUGCCCGCCUCUGCGCAUGCAUGUUUUUAUUUAUUUAUUUAUUUUUGAAAGCCACUCAUCCACCUGCGCAGGUAAGUUUCAAGUGAGGCACGAGUGCGAUGAAGUGGAGAGUGUCCGCUUUGAGUGAGAAUUAAAAGAGAAAGUACGAGGAACGUACCUGCUUGCUGACGGGGACAAACGUUGGUGUUGGUCCGAUGACACCGGAGCGCGGCGGUGAGCGGAUUCCGGUCCAGCGGUGAUAAUAAAGCCUUAGAAAUAAAGCCUGCUAGUGGUUGGGAGGAGGGAGGGAGCGCGCGUCCUGCUCGGGCAGGUUUACAACUGAUGUCUUACACCCACUCCAGGAAACAAACCUGGGUCGGGACUGACGUGUUCCGCCUCUUCUAAUGACAUUUUUUUCUUUCCACCUCCUUUUCUUUGCAGUGCACACGGAGGAGAAGCCCCCUGAAACGCACGCCACCUAUCUUCACGGGAGGGGAUAAUUGAGGGGAGCCAAACUGAAACCAACUAUGUCCACACCGAGUUUGUGUGUGUAUGUGUGUGCGCGGGGGGGAACUUGAAGCACGUCCACGGCAGCCGCAAUCACCUUCGCAACAUCAAACCGCGUGUCUCUCGACGGGCUCGAGCUCCAAUAGCCGCCAACGCCACGCUGCCGAGAUUGACGGACCAGUAGAGAGCGGAAGGUGACGGCCGGGCCAUGUGAUGUGUGAGAGCUCCUCCAACGUGUAAAAUGAAGAGUUUACAUUUGAUCUCUCUCGCUCGAACAAGAAGGAGAACAAGCACAAACAAAUGUUUGCACUGAGAGCUAUUGAUUUUGCAUCUUCUCUGCUAUUCGCUUACACACACGGCGCUACCACCUCCAGACGAGCACAAAAAACACCCUCUGAUACAAACAGCUGCAUGUUAAAUGAAGUUGCUGAUGCCGGAUUGAGUAAAUAAAGCAUUUAAUACAACCUUGAA